GCUGAUGUGGCUCAAAGGUAGAGCAGCGGUAUCGUAAACCGCAGGUUGGGGGUUCGAUUCCCUUCAUCAGCU
rnacentral:tRNA from 1 species